GACAGGGGGCCCGAGCGUUAAUCGGAAUCACUGGGCUUAAAGGGUGCGUAGGCGGAUCAGAAAGUGUUUCGUGAAAACCCCCGGCUCAACCGGGGAAUUGCGGGGCAAACUUCUGAUCUUGAGGGAAGUAUGGGCGGACAGAACUAUCGGUGGAGCGGUGAAAUGCGCAGAUAUCAGGAGGAACACCGGUGGCGAAGGCGGGUCUCUGGGCCGUAACUGACGCUGAGGCGCGACAGCGUGGGGAGCAAACAGG
rnacentral:rRNA from 1 species